rnacentral:tRNA from 1 species
GCGGGCGUGGUUCAAUGGUAGAACGGUACCUUGCCAAGGUAUAGACGGCGGUUCGAUUCCGCUCGCCCGCUCCA